rnacentral:rRNA from 1 species
GAUGAACGCUGGCGGCGUGCCUAAUACAUGCAAGUCGAGCGAACAGACGAGGAGCUUGCUCCUCUGACGUUAGCGGCGGACGGGUGAGUAACACGUGGAUAACCUACCUAUAAGACUGGGAUAACUUCGGGAAACCGGAGCUAAUACCGGAUAAUAUAUUGAACCGUAUGGUUCAAUAGUGAAAGACGGUUUUGCUGUCACUUAUAGAUGGAUCCGCGCCGCAUUAGGUAGUUGGUAAGGUAACGGCUUACCAAGGCAACGAUGCGUAGCCGACCUGAGAGAGUGAUCGGCCACACUGGAGCUGAGACGCGGUCCAGACUCCUACGGGAGGCAGCAGUAGGGAAUCUUCCGCAAUGGGCGAGAGCUUGACGGAGCAGCGCCGCGUGAGUGAUGAAGGUCUUCGGAGCGUAAAGCUCUGUUAUUAGGGAAGAACAAAUGUGUAAGUAGCUGUGCACGUCUUGACGGUACCUAGUCAGAAAGCCACGGCUAACUACGUG